AGCACGACCAAAUUCUGAAGAAAAUGCAUCCAAUUCAACAAAAAAAUUGUUGGCAAGAAAUCAUCACUGCCAUCAGUUGACAUGAGACACUUGGAGGAAGCACAUUCUGAAGAAAAGGCAUCUACUUUAACAAAGAAAAUUUGUGGCACAAAGAAACCCUCAUUGCCAUCAGUUCAAAACGUACACUCAGAGGAAGAACCUCCUGAAGAAGGGGCAGCCAUUUCUAAAAACAAAAUGGGUGGCAUUAAUAAAUCCUCAUUGCAAUCAAUUAAAAAAGGAAAAUCCAGAAGGCCCUGGUCAAAGACUGAGGGAGACAUUGUUGAAAGCCAUUUCAAAGACUUCCUGAAAGAAAUGAAGAUGCCUGGAAAAGUGCACUGUCAGAGAUGCAUAGAUGAAAAUCAGAUUCUAAGGGAUAAUGACAGAGACUGGAAAGCUGUAAAAUACUGUAUGUACAACAAGAUAACAGCAAAGAGAAACAGGCUCCAAAAGUACUGAGAAUUAUACUGGACAUUUUGAGCAUCAAUGCUAGGAACCCAAAAAACCUACAUGUAUACCAAAGUACACAGAUACAAUUAAAAAAAUAUAUUGACAUCAAGUCCUUGUGAAAACUUGUCAUUUUAGUACUGUAGGACUAAACAUGUUUAAAGCUGUAAAGACAGAUGCCAAAUACUUGUAAUAAUAAAAAAGUAACAAAG